GAUCUGGUCAGCCGCUCACAGGAGCUCUUCAACGUCCUCAAGCUGCACCAGCCCCCGAACGGCACCGCACAGGGCGCCAACAACAGCGCCGACAAGCAGGGCAAGAUCAAACAGCUGCUGCAGAGCAUCCGCACCCUGUUCCACCGGCUUCGCAUCUUCCACGAGCGCAUCUCUGCCUGCUGCGCCGGCCUCGAGUUCACGCCCAUGGACGGAUUGAUUCCGUACAAGGAUGAACCGGACAGCAAACUGGACGAAAAGAAAAACUCCGAACAAUACCGGCUGGCCAUGGAAGAAUACAACGAAGUGAAGGAGCAGGUGCAGCUGCGCAACCGUUACCUCAAGGAGGUCAUCGACCAGCUGCGUAACAUGGUCUGGGACGUCAACACCAUGCUGGCCAUGCGCUCGCCAGCCUGAGCUGGCCGGCGCGAGACGCGGUAUGGCAGCUGUGGCGAGUGGCGCCUCAGUG